GCCCCUGUAGCUCAGACGGUCAGAGCGGACGCCUUGUAAGCGUCAGGUCGCCGGUUCGAGACCGGCCAGGGGCU
rnacentral:tRNA from 1 species